AAGUCGUAACAAGGUUUCCGUAGGUGAACCUGCGGAAGGACAUUAUUGAGAUAGGUCAGAAGCCUAUUAGGUCACCCCAAGACUGCAUUGAAAUUAUAGCGGAAUGGGGCAGUAAUACAAUCGGCAUGACCGUUUGAAUCCAAGGGCAGCUAUCCACCCGUGUAUAUAUACUCUGUUGCUUUCCGGGCGUCAUACCCCGGAGAGAACCCAACUCUUGAAUUUUAUGGAACGUCUGAGUACUAUAUAAUAGUUAAAA
rnacentral:misc_RNA from 1 species